rnacentral:misc_RNA from 1 species
AGCAGCCGCGGUAAUUCCAGCUCCAAUAGCGUAUAUUAAAGUUGUUGCAGUUAAAAAGCUCGUAGUUGAAUUUCGGGAUCAAUUAGUCGGUCGUGCCUCUGGUACGUACUGGUUUUAUUGGUUCCUCCCUUCUGACGAAACAUGAUGUCAUUAAUUUGGUGUCGUGGAGAAUCAGGACUGUUACCUUGGAAAAAUUAGAGUGUUUAUAGCAGGCUAACGCUUGAAUACAUUAGCAUGGAAUAAUGAAAUAGGACGUUCGACCCUAUUUUGUUGGUUUCUAGGAUCGACGUAAUGAUUAAUAGGGAUAGUUGGGGGCAUUAGUAUUCAAUUGUCAGAGGUGAAAUUCUUGGAUUUAUUGAAGACUAACUACUGCGAAAGCAUUUGCCAAGGAUGUUUUCAUUAAUCAAGAACGAAAGUUAGGGGAUCGAAGACGAUCAGAUACCGUCGUAGUCUUAACCAUAAACUAUGCCGACUAGGGAUCGGAUGAUGUUAA